GAGUGGCUAGCAGUGGAACGUAUUUCUUCAGACUGGGUACUGGAGCGUGUUAACAAAGUUUGUAACGCUAAAGCCAUUUGGUCCAUUCUAUGGUCCAUGGCCUCAAAUCUGGGGUCAGGAGGGCUAGCACCUGCAGGAUCCAUCAUGGCCCUGUCGUAAUGUCAGGAAAGUGACAGGGAUCCAAUACGCAGAGUGCGCACAGAAUGAGGUACGUAUACCGGACCUUAGAAUGGCCGGACUAACGUAAGGACAAAGCAAGAAUAGUCAAAAGGUAAGCCGAGGUCAAGGGAGCCGGAGGACAGGUAAGCGAGAUACAAGCCGAGUCAAAGGAGAGGAGAGGACAACAGGACAAAAGACAAGCAAGGGUCAAAACCGGAAACACAAGAUAAAGAACGCGCUGAGUGACUAGCAAGCUAGAACCACGACAGGGCAAUGAGCAGUAGUAAAGGUUUCCUUUAAAUACCC